CACAAAACUCCCUCAAUGUUGCCCUAAAUCAUUGAACCGGCAAAAUCGAUUGAUACCGUCUCCUGUUCCCUUAGGUGAAACACCGUCGAAGACUAUGGAAUCCAUGUUAUGGAAAUACUUGAUCUUCCAUUUCUGAGAUAGUUGGCCACUUUUAGGAUUUUCGUUGCCGCUACCGCCCAUCGCCUUCGACUAGAUCUAGAGAAAGCUCAAGUAUAUAUGUAUCAUGUUCAAUUUUCCCAGCUUAAAUUUGUUUUGUUUUGUUUAUCUAUGUGAUUUUUUUUAAUUUUUUUUGAGUAUAUGGGUUGCCAUUCAUUUUGAAUUUGUGAAUUUUUUUCGAGAAUAUGGGAUUGCCAUUCAUUUUUUACUAGAUGAUCCCGAUAAAUGUCUUCCAAAUGCUGUUAAGGUCGCUAAAAAAAUGCAUAAAGUGAUGCAAAAUCUGUGUCUCCAUUCUAUUAUGGUUUUGUCAAGAGUUAGAACAAGUACUCCUGUAAAUUUGCUCUCAUUACUUCCACAGGAUAAACAAAACGAAAUCUGAGUUAUUGUUUCUUAUUUCUGAAAUAAUCCCCAUGCAUCUAUUAGUAUUUGGACACAUGAUUUCUGAAAUACCAAAUAAAUCUUUGUUUCGUAGGGCCAAGUCGAUGACAGAAACUUGUUUGGAACUAUUUUUUGAUGACAUCUUCCCAUGGCCUUCUUGUUCUUAAAUUCAUCCAUUUUAAAAUUUGGGGGGCCAGUUACACAAGCAUUUUGAGAAUAUAAUUUCUUUCUUUGGGGGGAGACUCUUGGAUGGUUUCUCAAAUUGUACAACUUUGUGUGCAAUGAAAUUUUUGAGAUAGGACUUGAUGAAUCCUUCCCUUCAUCGAAAGAAGAUAGAUAUGUUGUGCUUUUCAUUUUGUUUGGUGUUUGAUUCCCAGCUUAAAAUGAGUGGGAAGAAUUAUGGAGUUUGUCAUAGCUGGUUAACUUAUGAACAACACAUGGAGAUUGCUAUGAAUAUGACUAUACGCAAACGAGGAAAGCACGUCACCAAAUGGGAAAAGAAUGGAAAUUCCCCGGCCUGAGCUGAAGCUUUUUCAUUCGAAUGAAAUUGUAAUUUCAAUUAAAGAAAUGAAAUUGUCAUUGAUCUCGGGUAGUGGCUAACAAUGUAAUUUCAAUUACUAAUUUGGUUUUUCUUAAGGAAGAUGAUCUUGCAAGCUAUGUAUAUGCAAGGCUUUUAUAGUAUAUUUGAUGUACGUAUAAUAUCAGAUAAUUUGUUUAAGUCGAUAAUUUUUCUUGUGUUCCAAAGUAUGGCUAACCAAUAGAAGCUAAUUAAUUAAGAAUAGUUAACUGGGCUCAAGUGUUUGUAGUUUGCUCAUAGUUAACAGAAUCCGCGCAUGUAUGCUCAUAGUUAACAAAAUUGAUUCAAACCAAAGUUUCACAGUUAACGGAGUGAAACCUGAAUUUAAAUACACAAUACAGGAAGCAAACAAAGUAUCUUUGAAAGACCUGAAACCAAUAAUCCAGUACAUCAAUUUACAUUCAAGCAACAUCUAGUACUCUUUAUCAACCAUAAGCAUAAUGGUUAAUGCCCUAACAUUGUAGACUCAAAUGACACACUGAAAAGGAAAACAAAGCAUGACAAUUGAUGUCAAAUACUACAAUAGGACAACCAGCAAUGCCAUGGCUCGAGUAAGGCAUCAAGGAUGACAAAUAUUACAAUAGGAACACAUCAGCAGAUGGCCAGAUGUAGUGAUGGGCUGUAUUGGGCAAGGCAGCUAACAUGGUAAAUUGAGCUUCC
rnacentral:lncRNA from 1 species